CCCUUAGAUGUUCUGGGCUGCACACGUGCUACACUGGCAGGUUCAGCGAGCUUCAUGCCCUGAUCUGAAAGGAAUGGGAAAUCUUUUCAAAACCUGCCGUGCUUGGGAUAGAUGUUUGCAAUUAUUCAUCUUCAACGAGGAUUGCCUUGUAAGCGCACGUCACCAGCGUGCAUUGAAUACGACCCUGUAUUCUGUACACACCGCCCGUCGCUCCUACCGAUUGAAGUUUUCGGUGAGUUGACAGGAGGAUUUUUUUGAAACUGGUUCGCCAGUGGAUUUUAGAUCCAAAUGCCAGCGAAUCGAUGGCUUUAGAGGAAGGAGAAGUCGUAACA
rnacentral:rRNA from 1 species